UGAUGUCGAUGAUGAUGAUGAUGAUGAUGAUGAUGAGGGUGAGUAUGAAGCUUUUCCUCCAAUACCCAUAUACUCUUAUGUACAAAUGCCUCGGCAAGUUGUGAUCAUCGUCAUCAUCAUCAGUNNNN
rnacentral:pre_miRNA from 1 species